UUUCUUCAACACCAUCUAACCUCAAGGACAUCAGCUUUACCCAGGUGCCCCUCCAGCUCCAGAACCAGCAAUGUCAGCUUGCCCCUACUUCCCCAGCCCCAGGAAAGCACAGAGACUUCCUGGCUGCUUCCAAGACGGGCUGGACUGGUUUAGGGACCCGGUGCAUAGGCCAGUGGGAUCAUCCCAACAAGAAGGCAGGAAAUGUGAUGUCGUGAUCUUUGGGAGCAACAUAUGACAGAAGAAGCCAAUUCAGAGGAUGCUAAUAAGCAUGGACCAGGGUUGCUCUCUUACAUGACAGGACAUCUGCAACUUAAGCACCUGGUGGGAGAAAAGUGAAGAGAUAUGGCUAGCUAACAUUUCCUAAUCCUCUGGUAGACAUGGAUUCCUGUAAACCUUUGUGCCAAAAGAAGAGAGGGAGGAUUGGAGACAACCAUGGAAAAUGCCAACAUAAAAGCUGUGUGCUGGUCGAUGGAAAAUGGGAACAUGAACACGUGGAGGCCGAGCCAGGAAUGCAAUGGGAAUGAAAAAGGGGAAAGUGACUCACAAAGAGACCUCAAAGCAACACAGAAGAAAGCGGAACCUGUGAGUAAGGCUACUCAGAGUCCUGUGUCGGAAAUAGCUAUGUCUAUGCAAGUCUGAAGAAGACAAAACAGGAAGAGGCAGGAGCGGUGUUGUGAGGCCCAUGUGACAAGACUCUCCCAAUUUCUGUGCUUUGUGGGAGUUUUCCAAGAAGUUAUAAUUCCCAUGAAGAAUUGAGGCUUCAUGGUUUGCCAAACCUGACAUGCACUGGUCUGUGAAAGCCAACUAUUACAUUCUUAGGAACUUUGCAAGCAAGUUGUUAGAUAUGGCUAUUUUAAAAAAUUAAAGCAUAUAAACUUAUGAUGACACAAAUAUUAAAAAACUGUACUCAAAACUCA